rnacentral:rRNA from 1 species
UGGGGAAUAUUGCACAAUGGGCGCAAGCCUGAUGCAGCCAUGCCGCGUGUAUGAAGAAGGCCUUCGGGUUGUAAAGUACUUUCAGCGGGGAGGAAGGCGAUAAGGUUAAUAACCUUGUCGAUUGACGUUACCCGCAGAAGAAGCACCGGCUAACUCCGUGCCAGCAGCCGCGGUAAUACGGAGGGUGCAAGCGUUAAUCGGAAUUACUGGGCGUAAAGCGCACGCAGGCGGUCUGUCAAGUCGGAUGUGAACUCCCCGGGCUCAACCUGGGAACUGCAUUCGAAACUGGCAGGCUAGAGUCUUGUAGAGGGGGGUAGAAUUCCAGGUGUAGCGGUGAAAUGCGUAGAGAUCUGGAGGAAUACCGGUGGCGAAGGCGGCCCCCUGGACAAAGACUGACGCUCAGGUGCGAAAGCGUGGGGAGCAAACA